rnacentral:rRNA from 1 species
UACGGGGGGGGCAAGCGUUGUUCGGAAUUACUGGGCGUAAAGGGCGCGUAGGCGGUCCGCUAAGUUGGAUGUGAAAACUCUGGGCUUAACCCAGAGCCUGCAUUCAAAACUGACGGGCUAGAGUUCUGGAGGGGGUAGCGGAAUUCCUGGUGUAGCGGUGAAAUGCGUAGAUAUCAGGAGGAACACCGGUGGCGAAGGCGGCUACCUGGACAGAAACUGACGCUGAGGCACGAAAGCUAGGGGAGCAAACAGG